CUCAGAGAGCCCUCUACAGAGACGUCAUGCCGGAGAACUAUGAGAAUGUGACCUCACUGGGGUUUCCAGUUUCCCAACCUGAUGUGAUCUCCCAGCUGGAACAACGGGAAGAGCCAUGAGUCACAGACCUCCAGGGUUCAGAGGAAAGAAAGAUCCUGAGAGUUCCCUGCACAGAUGAGGAAACAUUAAACCAACUCAGAAUCUCAGGUGAUGCAAGGGUAGGUGAGAAAGAGGAGCAGAAUUCUCAGCAGGGAAAUGUUGAG